GACGAAUGCUGGCUGCGUGCUUAACACAUGCAAGUCGAACGGUGAAGGAGGGCUUGCCCUCCGGAUCAGUGGCGAACGGGUGAGUAACACGUGGGCAACCUGCCCCUCACUCUGGGAUAACGCCGGGAAACCGGCGCUAAUACCGGAUACGACCAGGCGCGACAUCUCGCCUGGUGGAAAGAAUUUCGGUGAGGGAUGGGCCCGCGGCCUAUCAGCUAGUCGGUGGGGUAACGGCCCACCAAGGCGACGACGGGUAGCCGGCCUGAGAGGGCGACCGGCCACACUGGGACUGAGACACGGCCCAGACUCCUACGGGAGGCAGCAGUGGGGAAUAUUGCGCAAUGGGCGAAAGCCUGACCCAGCGACGCAGCGUGAGGGACGAAGGCCUUCGGGUUGUAAACCUCUUUCAGCGGGGACGAAGCGAAAGUGACGGUACCCGCAGAAGAAGCACCGGCUAACUACGUGCCAGCCGCCGCUGUAAAAC
rnacentral:rRNA from 1 species